GCCAGCAGCCAUAUCACCCUGCAACUCACAAUUGGCAAACAAAGCUAAGCAGGUGUUAGCCUGGUCAGUACCUGGAUAGGAGACCUUCUGGGAAAAACUAAGGUUGCUACUAGAA
rnacentral:rRNA from 1 species